GCUGCCCUGUGUUGGACCGCAGGGAGUUCAUGAGUCUUUUUUGUCCGUUCUUAUGUUCGAGGCCAAAGAAGAAGUGAGAGGGAGCAUCCAUCUUGGCAACAUGCUGGAACCGGGAGCGAACCAGAGCACCUUGAGCAGAAAAACCCAACAGAUUUUGACCCGACAACUGAUGAACAUCUUCUAUGAAACUGCAGUUCAUGCCUCCGCCACUGAGGGUGCAGAGAGGGACAUUGCACUCACAAUCAUGG